AUUGAACGCUGGCGGUAGGCCUAACACAUGCAAGUCGAACGGCAGCACAGUAAGAGCUUGCUCUUACGGGUGGCGAGUGGCGGACGGGUGAGGAAUACAUCGGAAUCUACUUUUUCGUGGGGGAUAACGUAGGGAAACUUACGCUAAUACCGCAUACGACCUACGGGUGAAAGCAGGGGAUCUUCGGACCUUGCGCGAUUGAAUGAGCCGAUGUCGGAUUAGCUAGUUGGCGGGGUAAAGGCCCACCAAGGCGACGAUCCGUAGCUGGACUGAGAGGGUGAUCAGCCACACUGGAACUGAGACACGGUCCAGACUCCUACGGGAGGCAGCAGUGGGGAAUAUUGGACAAUGGGCGCAAGCCUGAUCCAGCCAUACCGCGUGGGUGAAGAAGGCUUUCGGGUUGUAAAGCCCUUUUGUUGGGAAAGAAAAGCAGCAGGUUAAUACCCCGCUGUUCUGACGGUACCCAAAGAAUAAGCACCGGCUAACUUCGUG
rnacentral:rRNA from 1 species